CAAUAGCGUAUAUUAAAGUUGUUGCAGUUAAAAAGCUCGUAGUUGGAUUUCUGGUGGGAGCGAUCGGUCUGGCGCUUAGCGCGAGUACUUGCAUCGUCUCCGGCCAUCCUUGGGGAGAGUCUGUCUGGCAUUAAGUUGUCGGGCAGAGGAUCCUCAUCGUUUACUGUGAAAAAAUUAGAGUGUUCAAAGCAGGCUUAUGCCGUUGAAUAUAUUAGCAUGGAAUAAUAAGAUAGGACUUUGGUACUAUUUUGUUGGUUUGCGCACCAAAGUAAUGAUUAAUAGGGACAGUUGGGGGUAUUCGUAUUCCGUUGUCAGAGGUGAAAUUCUUGGAUUUACGGAAGACGAACUACUGCGAAAGCAUUUACCAAGGAUGUUUUCAUCAA
rnacentral:rRNA from 1 species